UUGACAUGGUACAUGUCUCUACCCUAGUAGAUAUUUUUUUUAACUAUGUUAUAAAUGAUUAUUGUAUAGCGAAUUUUAGUGAACAAAAUGACAUUUUAAAGUUUAGCAAUAACAAAAAAACGUGCAUAAGACAGGAAAUUGAAGAGGACACUGAAGAAGAGUUACUGGCACUAUAAAAACAACUUAACGUCCCCUGUCUUAAAAAUAAGCGGUUGUUGUCACAUAAAGAUGCUCGACAAAACGAUUUGGUUAUAUACGCUCAUAUAUUGUGAACGUUGGAUAUGAAAAUAGAAUGGCUUUUUUAGUAUAGAAACUAGAGGACUAGGAAGAAAAAGGAGAAAACAAAGAAGAAAAACAAGAAGAAGAAAAUUCUUAAUUUAAUACUGCUAUUAUGGUUGAUGUUGACAUUAUUGUUUAUAGAAAUAGAAACGUAUACUACAUCAAUAUAAAAAGAAAAAUAACAAAAUAGUUUUUCGAUUCUUGAAUUAUUCCAAAUAUGCAACAUAUGGCAGUCAAGUAAAACUCUUCAUAUUUUAAUAAAAUACUAAAAAGCAUGUUUUUUUAUUAUCAAUUUAUCCUUCAAGUAUUGGUAAAAAAUAGUAGUCUCAUUGAGCCACGA